GUGUCUGAGGCCAAAGCGAUCGCGGCGCUAGUUUGUGAACCUAGUAUUAGCGGGUUUGAGUCCCGCCAGACACCCCA
rnacentral:tRNA from 1 species